AGAGUUUGAUUCUGGCUCAGGAUGAACGCUAGCUACAGGCUUAACACAUGCAAGUCGAGGGGUAGCAGGGUAGCAAUACCGCUGACGACCGGCGCACGGGUGAGUAACACGUAUCCAACUUCCCAUAACUCAGGGAUAGCCUUUCGAAAGAAAGAUUAAUACCUGAUAGUACUUUUUCAAGGCAUCUUGAGAAAGUUAAAGAUUUAUUGGUUAUGGAUGGGGAUGCGUUCCAUUAGAUAGUUGGUGAGGUAACGGCUCACCAAGUCUUCGAUGGAUAGGGGUUCUGAGAGGAAGGUCCCCCACAUUGGUACUGAGACACGGACCAAACUCCUACGGGAGGCAGCAGUGAGGAAUAUUGGUCAAUGGGCGAGAGCCUGAACCAGCCAAGUAGCGUGAAGGAAUGAAGGUCCUAUGGAUUGUAAACUUCUUUUAUAGUAGAAUAAAGUGAUCCACGUGUGGAUUUUUGUAUGUAUACUAUGAAUAAGGAUCGGCUAACUCCGUGCCAGCCGCCGC
rnacentral:rRNA from 1 species